rnacentral:lncRNA from 1 species
AAUAUUUAUUGGCAUGGGCAUAUAAACUUUGCCGUAUUGUGCGAAUAAAAUAUCAGUAUAAUACAAUCUCCGUGCUGAUUGCACAAUUCAGAAUUUUCUAUUCUUUAUAUUAUUUAGUAAUUUUCUCAAUAAAGUUCAAAAUAUUUGAUAAAAAUACACAAUAAAUAAUUAAUAUAUUUUGUUGUUAAAAAUAUAAAUAUUUCAUGCCAUUAUGUGUCCGUAUAAGAUUGGUACUUUUUGUGAUAGGUACGCAUCAGUAUGGCCUAGCAUAUACUCUGUCGUAUCGCUAUGCCGGUAAGUUUUCGACACAACUCUGUGCCACGUUAUUUAAAUCUUUAUUUUUAACGGUAAAUAUUUUAUAGUAAAAUAAAGAAAAACUAUUGAAUAGUUAAGUAUAACUUUUUAUACCAUAGGCUCGUGGAGUGGUAAAAUAAAAAUACACUAUACAACAUAGUAGUUAAGUAUGAUAUUUUGAAGGGAAAACUUCAAAAACCUCCCCUAUGGUUUCGUAGUUUCUCACUUUGCCUCCCUGUGGUUUAAAAUGUAUCAAAUUGCGCCCAUGUGGUUUCGUUUAUCUUUUCGGUAGCUUUUUCCUUAAUAUUUUAUUAAAUUAUAUACAAAAAACUUCAUAUAUCCAUUUAGAUUUAUCAAAUUUUCACUUUAGUACCCUUUAAUUUUAACUUUAUCACUGAUUUAAAAAAUAAUAAUAAUAAAAUUGAUAAAAAAAAAAGGAGAAAAAAGAGACCACGGGAGGACAAAUUGAUACAUUUUAAAUCAUAGGAGGGCAAAGUAAGAAACUACGAAACCACAUAGGGGGGGUUUUGAAGUUUUUUUAUUUUGAAGCACGAAAUAAUAAAGUAAAAAUAUGCUAUU